UCCACAUCUGGCUGAGGUUUGAGCCCUUAACUACUUGAAUCUCUUCUCUUCCCUGCUUUUUUUUUUUUUAGCUCCUAUCAUUUUCACUGUCCUUCAACACUCAGUGCACUUCAAUGAAUAGAAGGAUGAUUCAUGAUGAAGGCUUUUAUGGCACUUCCAUAAACAGCUAACAAUGUUGAGAACUAUUCAAAUUAGUCUAAUUUGAUUAUUACUUUUUUGUUAAGGCAAUGCUGCAGAAAGUUCUUUAUUAAUGGUUGUAUAUAGUUCAACCUCCCCAUAUAUGCAUCUUUCCAAGUCUCUUUUUGGACUUGAAUUGACUUUUUUUGCUGAAGGCCUCCUAAUCAGAAAAAAUAUAGUGAAACAAACCAAAGUGAAAAAGCAUGUAACAUAUAAAAUGUACGUAAAAAACGAAAACCUUAAUUAUCUAUACAGUGGGAUGACAAUAUACUCAAGAAAACACUCAAAAGGGCAAGAAUUCAGAUUGUUUACAAAAACUGCAAUUUCUGAACUCCAUAUAUGCUGUAUGUGCAGAUCAAACAUCCCCAAUGGACAG
rnacentral:misc_RNA from 1 species